ACCUGCAUUCAAAAGUGAUCAGGGCUGUCUGUGCCCUGGUUGUUCACAAUGCAGGGAGAGGAAUUGGUGAAAGCAGUUUCCCGUGUUUGGAGGGUCCACACCCGUCCCUUUCAAAUGCUGACGCUUUCACACA